AACGAACGCUGGCGGCAGGCCUAACACAUGCAAGUCGAACGCCCCGCAAGGGGAGUGGCAGACGGGUGAGUACCACGUGGGAACCUUCCCUAUAGUACGGAAUAGCCUAGGGAAACUUGGAGUAAUACCGUAUACGCCCGAAAGGGGAAAGAAUUUCGCUAUAGGAUGGGCCCGCGUAGGAUUAGCUAGUUGGUGAGGUAAUGGCUCACCAAGGCGACGGUCCUUAGCUGGUUUGAGAGAACGACCCGCCACACUGGGACUGAGACACGGGCCAGACUCCUACGGGAGGCAGCAGUGGGGAAUAUAGGACAAGGGGCGCAAGCCUGACCCAGCCAUGCCGCGUGAGUGAUGAAGGCCUUAGGGUUGUAAAGCUCUUUUGGCGGGGACGAUAAUGACGGUACCCGCAGAAUAAGUCCCGGCUAACUUCGUG
rnacentral:rRNA from 1 species